rnacentral:rRNA from 1 species
AUUUACCAUUGCUUUGCCGUAAGGCAUAACCAGUAUAACUUAUAUAGAACACUAAAAGAAACAAAAAAAACUUUCAACAACGGAUCUCUUGGCUCUGGCAUCGAUGAAGAACGCAGCAAAAUGCGAUACGUAAUGGGAAUUGCAGUGAAUCAUCGAAUCUUUGAACGCACAUUGCGCCCAGUGGUAUUCCACUGGGCAUGCGGAGGUGAGCGCCUAUCAGGUUGGAACAGGCUUGCCGUUCUCAAAACUAUCUACUGGUACAUACCAUCAUCAUACUAUAGGCCUCAUCGUCGUAGGAAGACCCGCUGAACUUAAGCAUAUCAAUAAGCGGAGGAAAAGAAACCAACAGGGAUUGCCUCAGUAACGGCGAGCGAAGCGGCAACAGCUCCAAUUUGAAAGGCUUCGGCCAUUGUAAUUCGCAGAAGGGUCUCGAUAUCUAGGGAAAAGUCUCUUGGAACAGAGCGCCAUAGAGGGUGACAGCCCCGUACCCCCCUAAUCAUCAUGGGCCCUAUCGAAGAGUCGAGUAGUUUGGGAAUGCUGCUCUAAUAGGAGGUAAAUCCCUCCUAAAGCUAAAUACUAGCCAGAGACCGAUAGCGCACAAGUAGCGUGAGCGAAAGAUGAAAAGCACUUUGGAAAGAGGGUCAAACAGUACGUGAAAUUGUUGAAAGGGAAGCGUUUCCUAUGCCUAGGGGGCAGUGUGCUUCACGCAUGCCCAGAAUGCCGUGUCAGUGGAUGGGUUUGCGAAGGGAGAGAAUGUAGCGCUUGCGUAUUAUAGCUCUUCCCUCACCAGGCCUGGUACACUGAGGAUCGCCUUUAGGAAGGACACGGGCAGCAUAGGCAACGA